rnacentral:rRNA from 1 species
UACGAAGGGUGCAAGCGUUACUCGGAAUCACUGGGCGUAAAGCGUGCGUAGGCGGUUCGUUAAGUCUGCUGUGAGAGCCCUGGGCUCAACCUGGGAACUGCAGUGGAUACUGGCGGACUAGAGUGUGAUAGAGGAUGGUGGAAUUCCCGGUGUAGCGGUGAAAUGCGUAGAGAUCGGGAGGAACACCAGUGGCGAAGGCGGCCAUCUGGAUCAACACUGACGCUGAGGCACGAAAGCGUGGGGAGCAAACAGGGAUUAAGAUACCUAGUAGU